GGGCCAGACUCCUACGGGAGGCAGCAGUGAGGAAUAUUGGUCAAUGGGCUAAGGCCUGAACCAGCCAAGUCGCGUGAGGGAAGACGGUCCUAUGGAUUGUAAACCUCUUUUGUCGGGGAGCAACGAGGCCACGUGUGGCCGAAGUGAGAGUACCCGAAGAAAAAGCAUCGGCUAACUCCGUGCCAGCAGCCGCGGUAAUACGGAGGAUGCGAGCGUUAUCCGGAUUUAUUGGGUUUAAAGGGUGCGUAGGCGGAGUGUUAAGUCGGCGGUAAACGCCGGGGUCUCACCCCCGGCGAGCCGUUGAAACUGGCUGUCUUGAGAUGUCGAGAGGUAUGCGGAAUGCGCAGUGUAGCGGUGAAAUGCUUAGAUAUUGCGCAGAACUCCGAUUGCGAAGGCAGCAUACCGGCGGCGAUCUGACGCUGAGGCGCGAAAGCGUGGGUAUCGAACAGGAUUAGAUACCCUAGUAU
rnacentral:rRNA from 1 species